CGACCGGCGAAUGGGUGAGUAACACGUAUGCAACUUACCUCUUAGUGGUGAAUAACUCGAUGAAAGUCGGACUAAUACACCAUACUCUCCUUAGAUCACAUGAGAAGAGGAGGAAAGAUUAAUCGCUAAGAGAUAGGCCUGCGUUCCAUUAGCUAGUUGGUAAGGUAACGGCUUACCAAGGCAACGAUGGAUAGGGGGACUGAGAGGUUGACCCCCCACAUUGACACUGAGAUACGGGUCAAACUCCUACGGGAGGCAGCAGUA
rnacentral:rRNA from 1 species